UUACGUAUUGUAGCCCUCAUUUUUUGUAUAUAAUCCCACACUGGAAUGAAUGAAUACGUGUAUCUGCACUAACUUGCGCUCUACAGUGACGCAUCUUUCUACAGCUGAAGACAACAUGAGGCAACCACUUGGAAUGAAUCUACUGGUGAUGGUUGCUACAGCAAUAGCUGUAAUAAUAAUGGCUCCAAAUGAAGCAUCUGCGCUCGGAGGAUAUGUCGGCGGAAGUGAUGCCAUCGAGUUUGGUCGUGAAGAAUGAUCCAACAUUCGUCUUGUGGGAACCACGUGCACAGGGCAUCCAGAGAGAGUGUCACGUGUUGUGCAGUAGCGGUGUGUGUGGCAAACCUGCACUCUUCAUUGGGCCACUCUGCGUCAUGCCCUAGGAAGAGAUGUCUUGGCUGCCAUGACAAACGAAUGCUCUCACCCGCGCUGGUCGAUUGCUGUUACCCGGCGUCAUGGUCGCUGCGUAGGUGCCUCGGGUCUCAAGGCCAACCCUGCGCUAUGCCGUGUUUCAUUAAAUAAAUUGUUUGUUUUGACCUGAA